UAUAGAUGCAAAUGUUAUAAAAAUGACCAAAAUUUUUGUUUACAUUGUUUUUUAUUUUCCAUUUUUAUAAAAAUAAAAAGUCAAGCCUAUUAGAGAUUUGUUACAGAGAAUCUGGCGAACAUAUUCUGCUUGUGCACGAAGGAACACGAGUGGCGACACUUCGCCGAAAGAAGAUGUUACAACAAGUUUAAUUUCAGCAGAAGGAAACACACAACAAAAUACGUGCAAUC